GUGUUGUUAUGCAACGGGGAAGAUUGGUACUUUAGUCUAACGCAGCCAUAUAGUGUCAUGCAAGGAUGCACCCAAAAUGAUACGAAGCCCCAACAGAUUUUCUUGGCUUAUGGAGACGUACUUCCUCAGUCUUGCAGCCUUGGCCUCUAUGAACACACGUGAUUUUUCACAAAAAUCCUCCUUCCCCUCACCACCCCUCUUCUCCAGUUCUGUGCAGCGAGGCUAAAUCAAGCCACAGAACAGCUCUGCAUUCACCAUCACUUGAGAAGCACUAACCAUCACAUUACAGAGUUUGCUUCUUUUACACCUCCCUAAAAUAGAAAGAUCCUCGCCAGCCCAACCCAACCCCCUACAAACAGCACACACGCACAAACACACAGAUCAAUGUUGGAGGGGCACGCAUGGGGUGUUAAGUAUUAUCGAGUAGAAGACCACAAGACUCAGGUGGCACAACAAGUGCUCAGAAAUUAAGUAGGAGGGGAAUAAAGCAUUAAGGGAACACUGUAAUGAAUUAAAGAACCGUUCACACAGCUGAAAGAAAACAAGGUUAUGGAGAAAACAUGUACCAUGCUGCGUCCCAUUGCCUUGUAUGGUGGCUGUCGCUGCUGAGUAAGAAUUUUUCAGUCCUGAAAAUGAUUUCAGGAAGACCAGAACAAUUAAAGUUUCUUGAGGAACUGAGUUCAUAAGAAUUUGCCUCCAGAAUCAAGAUCACUGGCAGAGAAAUCCUGCUUCUACCUUCAGACUGCUUCUGUGCAGACCGACCACCCAAAAGAAAAAGCAUGAAGUAACACUCCUCUUUAACAGAUUGACUUCAUCAAUUUACCUUCAGCGUUGUCCUCCUCCUUCACCCACCAAGGAAACACUGUGGCGUGCCUGAACACACAAGCUCCACAGCAUUCUGCUGACAUCAGUGCUGCCCGCAUUUUAAAGAUCACCACCCUCACGGUCACAGAAGAAAGACUUACCUGUGGCUUGCUGUCUGAGGAAAGGUUCGGACGCAC